UACGUAGGGGCCUAGCGUUGUCCGGAAUUAUUGGGCGUAAAGAGCUCGUAGGCGGUUCGGCAAGUCGGAUGUGAAAUCUCCACGCUCAACGUGGAGGGGCCAUUCGAAACUGCCGUGACUCGAGUCCGGUAGGGGAGUGUGGAAUUCCCGGUGUAGCGGUGAAAUGCGUAGAGAUCGGAAAGAACACCAACGGCGAAAGCACUCUGCUGGGCCGACACUGACACUGAGAGACGAAAGCUAGGGGAGCGAAUGGG
rnacentral:rRNA from 1 species